rnacentral:snRNA from 1 species
GGGUUAGUCGAUCCUAAGAGUCG